CUCUCUCUCCUCCUUCCUCUUUUCUUUUCUCUCUUUCUCUUUCUCCCCCUCCUUCUUUCUCUCUCUUCUCCCCUUCCCCUCCUUCCUUCUCCCUCCUUUCCUCCCCUCCCUUCCCUUUUCCCGCCGGCACCCUUCCCCUCCCUCUCUCUCUCCCCCUCCGUGACUGGUCACAACCAAAGGGCCUCAACCAGAGAUUCAGAUCUAGUAGUAACUGGUCGCAAUCAGAAGCUAGUCGCGACCAUCUAAUCGAUGGCCGUGCACCAACAACCAGAUCUGAAGUGGAGGGGAAGGAGUUUCUGGCAUAGGGAAAGGGUAGGGAGAGGAGAGGAGGAGGGAGGGGAUGGUGGUAGUGGUGGUGGUAGGUGGCGAUGGCGGUGGUGGGUGGCGAAAGAAAAAGAAGUGAUAGAAUUAUUAUUAUUAUUAUUGUAUUUGUGAGUUGUUUUUUACGGAUUGAUGUUUUUUAAGUUAUUUUUAUUUGUUUAUUUCUGUAACAUUGUAUCUAAAAAAUUAGUUUUUAAAAGAUAGCAAUAUCCAAACAGAGCCAAAUCUUGUUCAGAUUCAUUUGUAGAUUUACAAAAUAUUGCAUUUUGAGUUUGCAAUUAUAGUGUUGUCUCAUUAGUUCUUUAGAUAUUGCACGAAUCCUUUAAUUUGAGUGCAAAAUUAAUGAUUCCCAUAAAAAUAUAAGAAUACUAUUAGAUAUUUAACCAAAAUUUUAAAAUUUUGAUGCUCCUGAUGGCAGAGGUUAUCGAUGCACUGCAAA
rnacentral:lncRNA from 1 species